AGUACCCUAUUAUUUUAAAAGAAAUUUAUAAUACUUAAUUAGUAGUAGUUAAGGUCUUGAAAAUUAAAGAAUUUGGCGGUAUUUUAGUCUAUUCAGAGGAAUCUGUCCUAUAAUUGAUGACCCACGAUUUUUAUUACCUAUUUUAAUAAUUUGCAUAUCGCCGUAGUUUGAAUAUUUUUUAAAAAUGUUAAUAUUCAUGAUUUAUUUUAAUUUAAAAAAUCAGGUCAAGGUGUAGUUUAUAGGUAGGGAGAGAUGGAUUACUAUAAAAGUAUUUAUAAUGGAUUAAUUAAUGAAAUAUUUCUUAUGAAAGUGGAUUUGAUAGUAAUUUUAUUUG
rnacentral:rRNA from 1 species